rnacentral:rRNA from 1 species
CAGCAGCCGCGGUAAUACGGAGGGAGCUAGCGUUGUUCGGAAUUACUGGGCGUAAAGCGCACGUAGGCGGCUUUGUAAGUUAGAGGUGAAAGCCUGGAGCUCAACUCCAGAAUUGCCUUUGAGACUGCAUCGCUUGAAUCCAGGAGAGGUGAGUGGAAUUCCGAGUGUGGAGGUGAAAUUCGUAGAUAUUCGGAAGAACACCAGUGGCGAAGGCGGCUCACUGGUCUGUAACUGACGCUGAGGAGCGAAAGCGUGGGGAGCGAACAGGAUUAGAUACCCGCGUAGUCCCUGUCUCUUAUAC